rnacentral:sRNA from 1 species
GAGCGACGGAACGAUUGCGGCUAAAGGCUCGGUGCCCCGAGUGCCCGAGUGUCAGUCAUCAUGGUCUCUGCGCUUUGACGGAGACGGAACGCAAUUGGUGCUUAUCUAACGCAGAGUUUUAGUUGCGAAUACUCGUGGCUGGCGCAAAGAUGACAAUGUUGCCACAUAACUGAGCUACAGCUAGGGAUUUGAGCAAAUAUUUGCAUAAGGUGUAAGGCAAAACAAAGUGCAACCGCAACAACAAC